rnacentral:lncRNA from 1 species
AGUCAAAUCCCAGCUCCCUGGAGGGGCUAGGAAACUCUGCCUUUGACACAUUCACUUUAAGAAUUUCAGCAAUAAGGGGCUCCUGGGUGGCUCAGUCAGUUAAGCAUCUGCCUUCAGCUCAGGUCAUGAUCUCAGGUCCUGGGAUUGAGCCCGAAAUCAGGCUCCCUGCUCAGUGGGGAGUCUACUUCUCCCUCUCCCUCUGCCAGCACUCAAGCUCUCUCUCUCAAAUAAAUAACAACUUUAAAAAAAAAAUGUCAGCAAUAAGAUAAAAAGAGGGUGUGUACAUUUGCAGAACCCCAUGCUCUAUUUCUUAACUCCCUCUUCCCACGGUGCCCACACACUUCCUUCCCUAGGUGGGGAACAGGGCAUAUCUGGGCAAGUCAAAAGGAACCCACCUGCUGGAAGUGUCCCCUGGGGUGAGGGAGGGAGCGCGGGAGCGCGGAGGCCAUCCGGGCCCACCUGCCAUAGCCACUGCUUUUGUCCUAACAGGCGUGGAUGCCCAGAUCUGGGAGAUGCUGCUGUUGCUCGGUGCCCCCACCUUGGUGCCAUCCUAGCUGGGCAGACCCCCCAGGGGUACAGGGAGCGGACGGACAUAGGCGGGAAGCUGGAGCUCGCUGGUGCCUGCACGGAGGCACCUGCGCAGUGGGUGGUGAGUGGGUAGGGAGGUUCUUUUAUUUUAUUAUUUAUUUUUUAUUGGAGUUCAAUUUGCCAACAUAUAGCAUAACACCUAGUGCUCAUCCUGUCAAGUGCCCCCGUCACCCAGUCACCCCCACCCCCCUGCCCACUUCCCUUUCCACCAUGGUAGGGAGGUUCUUAUGGCAACUUGGCUCAGGUCCUCAAAACCUCGCUUCCCCCCACCCACUCAGGGGUCUAGUGCGCUCCCUAUGGCUGUUAGCAGGACGGCAGGGCACCUUUGCUGCUGGCACUGCCCUGCGCGCUCCUCUCCUAGCUCCGUGUGGUCGCUUCUGGGAUCCAGACUCUGCAGAGACUUCCCAGAAAGACCAGUGCGGAGGCCUUAAGGCUGAGAUUGAAAACAAAGACUACAAUUAUGAAAUCCAUGGAGUGGGGCUGAAUAUGCCUUCAAUUUUUAAAGGUUACUUAGAUGAGAUGCAGCAGGGAGACGUCUUUUUUGUGUGUGUGUGUGAAGUCAUGGAACACCGAGGCCUCUGGUAUAUGACUGGCAAUGUUGUCCUCCAAUUUGUACCACAGAUACAGAGCAUCUACUGA